GGAAACUGCACAUUGGAUUUAAGUACAAAAACGGUAUGGAUGUGUGUUUGUUUGUUUGUUUUUUAGCACUUUAGACACGUUAAACGUUACUCGAUUCAGUCUGCCUGUCUGUGACGUCAUCAGUACGCAGCGGCAGCCGCGCGAAACUCUGAACAACAACAAAACACAGCGUGGAGGAGACGACUGCGAGCGAGACAUUUACAAACCAACUUAUGGAUCCAGCGCGUGGAAACAUUUUGGCUUUUGCAAACACGUCGGUCGCUGUUUGUAGAAUAUGUAGAAGCCAAAUAAAAAACCACGGAAACACGACGAAUCUUUCCGGCCAUCUACUAAGGCGCCGUGGGAUGAAACAACGCCGACAGUCAGGACCUCUAGCAGCGUCACCGCUGCAGCAGCAGCAGGUUGAGGUCACCCUCCACACAAAAGAAUAAAAACUACAAGUCCCAGACAGAAAGGUUGUACCUAAAGAAAUCAAAACAUAUAUGUGUUAUUUAUUUUAUUCAUCUAACUCUAAAUACUCCUGUGUUUUCAGAAACAUCAAUGCACACAAACUGAUCCAAUUAUGUUCACUGCAGAAAAACAGGAUAAUUCACAUGCAUUUUCGAAUGAAAACAAAACACAUAAAUAUCACAUGAACAUGUGACACUGAAGGACGGAUGGUUUGAGUUAAGGUGAGAAAAGGCACCUCUCUCUACAGUGCAUGCUCUCAUUGUUUCAUUGUUCUGACUGGCUUCUUUCAACCAAACGUGGUUCAUGGUGGCUCAAGUGUAAACUACAGUACAUUGCAGGAAGGAAGGGGGACCUGGCUGUGGGGGUUGGGAGCACGAUCCCAGACCAUAAAACCUGGCAGCCGCCCUCCUGCAUUGUUCGCCACCACCAUUCCGGCCCAGUUUCUCUGUUUUCUCCCUGGGCUCCGUGUAUCCUGUCCUUCAAGAGGCAGUAAAUGUUGUUGUUGUUCAUAAGACACACAUGGCCGAUGGAGCUGCUCGUCUGCCUUUGUUCCUUCGACGAAGGCAGGAAGAAGGUUGUGGCAGAAGAGCAGAUUAAUAACCUGGUUACACAGUUGGAGUCAGGAUUCAUAUGGGUCCAAUCAGAAACACAUCAGGUUACACGCAGCAUGUAUUAGAUUUAUAGAGAGCACAAUAAGAACAUACAAUUUCAGCCUUUCAGGUGGAUGCAAACAGAUCCAAAUCUCCUCUUCUAGCACCACCUUGUGGUGGACUGAACUGUCUUCUCUAGCUUCAAAAACAUUGGCUGCUGCAGUGUCUUAAAUCCCCAGAAACACACAGGAACUCAAACUGGAAAUGAUUCAUGCACCUUGUGCAAAACAAUGUGCAAAAAACAACAAAGCAACAAUUGUUUUGAAUAUGUUUUGAACGAGUAUAAAUUAGGUACAAAUAAAAAUGUAUGAAUAACAAAAAUAAUAGAACAUGUAAUCACAAAAUGAAAAUCCCUGCAGUGAAAAUUUCUAAUCACUACUUACUUUUUAAUGGAGACUUCCACUGAAUGUGACUUGAAAUAAGAACUGUUCACUUAACUUUUCUAUCGUGAAUGAAUUCCGGGUUCUGUACGUGACUGCAGCAGGAGGGAACAACUUUAGUGGAAUGCAGAUGCUUCUCUCUCUCACUCUAUCUAUGUGAUUUAAGGCUGUCAGGGAAGCCACGCAGCAGCGGCCCCAGACAGAAGGCCGGCCAUGACAAUGAAGCUGGAGCCCUGCAGGAACCGCUCCCUCUGCUGGCCAGGCACAGAGGGAACCCCAAAACCCUGCAAGACAACCUGACUCCAUCCUGUGUGGUACAAUUACAUCGCCCGAAACAUUACAGGAAAUGGCAGCCAAAUUCCUGGGAAAUGAAUGAAGAGGAAAUCUGCGAGUGGCAGCCUACCACGAGAUCGCUCUGAAAGGAGAGGGUGGAAAAGACAUGGCCCCUUUCUGCAACAUGGACCCGGGCCAGGGCUCACUAGAGCACCGAGAUGAAGAGUUACAGCACCUCUCAAACCCAACCGGCUGGAGUGAUAAAUACCCGGCUCUAAUGCACAUGCUUAAGAGUUUUUGACUGUAAAUAAAGUCAUGGGAGACAUGUUGUACUUACAUGGAGAAAAGCCUUGAGGAAAUGGCUUCCCCCCUUGAAAGCGACGAAUGGGUGUGUAUGUCUGCAGCCAAUCAGGAUGUAACUUCAUGAAGCCUGUUUUUUUAUCCCCGGUGGCCUCGUUGCUUUUUUUUUUUCCUCUUGCGUGUGAUAACGUCACUUAAUAUUUCUUAAUAUAUGAUCCAACCAUAUUUGACUCAUAUUAAUUAAAUCCUUUCUCAGAUGUUCAAUUUUUAAAAUAAAUGAACAAAGUCGUCUUUCUUUACUAUAAAAGAGGCAAAGGAAACUGUCAUGUGAGUAUUGUCAGAUGAUUGGGAGGACAGUAAAUAUAUAUAUACUGUGUAUAGUUAAUAUAGAGCUUUUAAUCAUGAUCAUCAAAGUAUCAUCCAUCUCUGUGUGCAAACACUGGUGACACCUUUAUUGCCUUUGAUGAUACAUUAUUCCUGUCAAAACGAGGUGAUAAUCAACUCAUUUCCACAGCACCUAUCGAUAUCGUAGACAAAUCUUUGUUCGAGCACCAUUUUAAAAAAACUGUUACAGUUAGACACCUCGAAAGGUAAUCAUAUUAUUAGUUUUGAACUAAAUAUGAGCUGCAAUGUGUGACAACGUAAUACAAAACCGACGGUUGAGAACAGUAGAGAGAAAAGACACAUUGUGCCCACAUUGUUAAAGCAAGUAACAUAAAUAACCUCUCAUGUGCCACUACGCACUACACCCUGCGGGCCCGACCGCUAUUUCAUUCUUCAGACUGAUAUCAAUAGUUGGCGAAAUGGGGACAACCACAUAUUACAGUCGGAAAUUCAACUUGUCAGUGCUCUCUGGUGGCCGAUGCAGCGGUGACACUGUUUUGUUUUGCAAUUUUGCGCUGCUUGUUGACCAACAUGUACACCGUUGCUGAUGUAUAAAUAUAUCAGUCGCAGAUAAAAAACAACAUGUUCUCAUUCAGCACAUAUGGACGUUUGGUCCGGAUGCCUUCGGUUUACAGCACUGGGAAUCCAGACAAAACAAGGCCUUCUUGGUUAAGUUUAGGCCACAAAACUGCUGGUUCUGUUUAAAAUAAGUAUGUUUGUAGGGUAAAGUACAGAAGACUAAACGUCAUAGACGUAAUCAUUUUGUCCACUUACCUUUAUUUUGUCUGUAUGUAUUUUUGUAAAGAACAGCUUCACUGUCACCAUUUAGGGAACCAUCAAGUGUUUCCAACAUGAAAGAUGGGGCACAAAAUAAACACACCUCCAUCUGUGGAAAACUGCAUCAAAGAAGUAAAGUUUUUGUGCACCGAUUGCCCUCUUUGUAUCACUUAAGCAGGAGGCAGGAGGCUGUUGCACUUGAAUCCGCCUUAUGCACAAUCAUUUUUGCCCUUUACUGUAAAGUACACAGCGGAUGUUUACGUGCUGAUCGAUCGCUAUGUGAUCUUUACCACAUGGCUGUGCAGUAACAAAAACACGAUAAAAUACUGCUGCUUACUUGUAAAGUUUCCCAAUAUACUUAAAACGCAACAUUUGAGAAUUUCCAAGCUGAACUUCCUGGCUCUUAUCGACUAUUUGGAUUAGCUCUCACUGGAGUGGAAACCUCCUUCACGCAGACCAUCAAGUGCUAAUUGGUUCGGAAUGGAGGGAAAGUAUCAAGGAACAGAUUCCAGAUGACACGCCAGUGAUGGAAACAUCCUUUAGGUAAAUGUAGCAGUCGGCUCCGGCGUGCCGCACCAUGCCUCAUCUGCGGGGGGGGACGUCUGAUGGAGCAAGCGGUGACGGCCAGCCGAAUCACAGGCUGCUCUUUGUGGUGUACUCUUUGAUUUAAUGGAGUGCACUGCGGCAAUUGGCGUUCCGUGUGAAAGUUAUCUGUCCCCGCCUGUAUGUGGGAAAGAAUCAGAAGCAGCGACCUCCCGGUGGGACGCAGUACAGAUGGAGCAAUUAAAGUCCAGCCACAACAAUUGCCUUUUUUUUUCUCCGAGGCAGACAUAUUGGAGUGUGAGUAGAAACAAUACAUCCAGUUUAGAAUAUUUUACUGGAGUUCAGUGAAAACAAAAUAACUAGCCACAGGAGGACGGAGCACGUGAGGCUGUGACUGAAAUAGCGAGCGAGUCUUUUGUGUCCAGGGAAUCUAUAUUUUACUGUUAAGAACUUUAUGAAAGAAAAGCUGUGUGUCUUUAUGCAACGUGUCUGCUGUUGUAUUUCAAACCUCUUAAAACAAUUCACAUUAGAUACAUUUCAACUUCAUACUCCCCAUUACUUCCCAUUACAAUAAAAGCCCACAUCAUGUACUGCGUGUUGCUUGUAUUAGGUCAUUUAUGCACUGCACGUUGGAAAGAAUGCAUGUUUCUCUCAUGUAUAAGACAUUAUUUUGAAGAGUAGACUAUCCCUGCACACCGCCCUCUAAUAGUCUUUCUCCUCUGCUCAGUGGGUGAGGGACAACAGUAGGAGGGAGUCGGAGGGAACUGUAUUUUCUCUCUCAUCAUGGGGUCGCUGUGCUCUGGAGGGGUCUGAAUCUGCGCUGAGGUUGAUGAUAUCAGGUUAUAAUUAAUACAGAAAUCAAAUUCCACCCACUUUGCACCCUCUCUGACUGGAUUACUUCUGUGUGGGUUAACGUCAUAUAGCGCUACCUUCUCCAUAUUACAUGUUUAACCUGUUUACUGUGCUUCACCCACUAAAAAUAGACACAGAUUCUUCCGGGAUACAGUCUUACAUCCUUUCGAAACCACCCUUACAAAGCUUACUUUUAGAUUUAACGCCUCUUACUCUAUUUAAAUAAAGCUAAUCUUCUCUUAAAUAAUAAAUAAAACAUAUCCUCAGAUUGCUAUUAGUCUGAUGUUUGCAUUGGAGGUGUGUUGCUGCAGCAGGAACACAGCUGGCUCACACAUCAGACACUCAGCACAUCAUCAGGUCACACAAAGAGGAACUAGUGGGCAGAAAAGCAGAGUAAGGUGCUUGGAUUAGAGUGCAGCUUCGGGACAUUUGGUCAGCAGCCUUUAUCAAAGACUCAAAGUUGUGGCUGAAUUUGUCCAGCGACUCUCUGCUGGGUCGGGGCCACCGUUCGGAUGAGCAUCCAAACUGGAAGCCUCAUUGGUGAUUUACAACAUUAGUCAGUACGUGAUUCUGUCUCGUAAUGUUCCCCAAUCAAACUUUAGUGUUGUUUUUUUUAGCUGAAAUCCAGCAGUGAGUUGUAUCCUCAAUGUUAUUUUUAUUUAUCUCACGUAAGAAGGUGUAUUUCGUCUCCUCGGGAAGAAACAUCUCCACCAUCAAAAUAAAAAUAUUUAGGACUAGUUAGACGUUAAGAAAAAUAGACCCUUGCUUUUGUAAAGAUUUUACAGAUUUACAGUAAGAUAAAAAAUAAUGACACCACUCUCUAAUAUGAAGCUAAAUAUGACGCUAACUACAGCCAGUUAACUGAACUUAGCAUAACAAAACCCCAGCGCAG
ensembl:lncRNA